rnacentral:rRNA from 1 species
GAUGAACGCUGGCGGCGUGCCUAAUACAUGCAAGUCGAGCGAACAGACGAGGAGCUUGCUCCUCUGACGUUAGCGGCGGACGGGUGAGUAACACGUGGAUAACCUACCUAUAAGACUGGGAUAACUUCGGGAAACCGGAGCUAAUACCGGAUAAUAUAUUGAACCGCAUGGUUCAAUAGUGAAAGACGGUUUUGCUGUCACUUAUAGAUGGAUCCGCGCCGCAUUAGCUAGUUGGUAAGGUAACGGCUUACCAAGGCAACGAUGCGUAGCCGACCUGAGAGGGUGAUCGGCCACACUAGAACUGAGACACGGUCCAGACUCCUACGGGAGGCAGCAGUAGGGAAUCUUACGCAAUGGACGAAAGCCUGACGGAGCAACGCCGCGUGAGUGAUGAAGGUCUUCGGAUCGUAAAACUCUGUUAUUAGGGAAGAACAAAUGUGUAAGUAACUGUGCACGUCUUGACGGUACCUAAUCAGAAAGCCACGGCUAACUACGUG